AUUUGUGACAAUAGUGACAGCAAGGAUGCGUUCUAGCAGAUUAGGACUCGUAGCAAUGCGGAGAUCCGUAGAGCAUUCUGACGCUAGGAUUCUCGGGCAUCCGUCUCUGCCUUGCUUGGAAUAGGUCAUUCAGUUAGCAUCUUGUUCCUGCAGGGUUCUCUGAGCCUUAGAGGCUCGCCAUCAGUCUCAGCUAGGUCAUCUCAUUCUGCAGUCUCUGGCUCCCUGAGGGCAUUCUUCUCGCUCAGAGCUUUCUCCCCCUGUUGUGUCCCCUUGUUUGUCUUGUUCUGUGUCACGGGUGUCUGGGUAUUUGGCCUGGAGCUGCUCUGCCCUGCUGCAUAGCGUGGUGUAGGUCUAGAAUGGGGCGUGUCCUGGGGCCUGGAAAUUUGUAAUGUGGGGUGUAUUUGGACUCUAGAUGGGAUCUGUAGAUUGAUGAAGGCUAUCUGGAGCUGUUAAGUUAUCCUGCAGUGCUCUGACUUUUGUCCUAACGUUCUUUCAGGAGCAGCCAGAUGGAAUCCGUGGCAGAGGGCCCCGUCACGGGUGAGGGGGGGGGUCCCCCGAGAAGGAACUAAAGCCAGUUACUAGCAGUCAAGGCGGUCAGCUGGUAUUACGCCGAGAGCCCCCUCAGCAACGGGCCCGCAGACCCCCGCUUCGUCACUCUCGUGGGAAUUCGGGAAGCGGUGCACGGAACUGUGAUGAAGCCCUGAUCUUUGUCAUUUGAAGGUGUCACCCGGGGAGCCUUCAGGAGCGGCCGAGGAGUUGCUGCAGACCCUGCCGCGAGGGCAUCGGCCUCCGGGCGCGGCCAGAU